GAUGAACGCUGGCGGCGUGCUUAACACAUGCAAGUCGAACGGGAAUUAUUUUAUUGAAACUUCGGUCGAUUUAAUUUAAUUCUAGUGGCGGACGGGUGAGUAACGCGUGGGUAACCUGCCUUAUACAGGGGGAUAACAGUCAGAAAUGGCUGCUAAUACCGCAUAAGCGCACAGAGCUGCAUGGCUCAGUGUGAAAAACUCCGGUGGUAUAAGAUGGACCCGCGUUUGAUUAGCUUGUUGGCAGGGUAACGGCCUACCAAGGCGACGAUCCAUAGCCGGCAUGAGAGGGUGAACGGCAACAUUGGGACUGAGACAAGGCCCAGACUCCUACGGGAGGCAGCAGUGGGGAAUAUUGCACAAUGGGGGAAACCCUGAUGCAGCGACGCCGCGUGAAGGAAGAAGUAUCUCGGUAUGUAAACUUCUAUCAGCAGGGAAGAUAGUGACGGUACCUGACUAAGAAGCCCCGGCUAACUACGU
rnacentral:rRNA from 1 species